UUCCCCUGGCCUUGGGCACAGAGUCACCCUGUUGGUGAUGGUGGUUUUCUAUCAGUCAGAGGCAGAGAGGGUGACAGACCUUUGUUCAUCCUAGCUUGGCACAUGGCUUGGUGGCCAAAGCUGUCUUAUGUCUAGGACUCAUAA
rfam:Mus musculus chromosome 13, GRC primary reference assembly.